CCUUCGAUAGCUCAGUUGGUAGAGCGGUGGACUGUAGAGCAGAAAUCGAUAGAGUAAUCCAUAGGUCACUGGUUCAAAUCCGGUUCGAAGGA
rnacentral:tRNA from 2 species